UUUUCUUCUCCUCCUAGAAGAACCCUUCUUUCUUCUUUCCUCCUCCCGGUUUCAUUUUUUUCUGUCUUCUCUCCUCCCCUAGUUUUUAGGGAUCGCGUCGGCUAGGGGUAGCCCGGACCGUUGUGGAGAGGAAGGGGGACAGAGGAACAGGGUGGAGGCCGGCGGCAGCGCCGGUCCGGUCACACCGCCGCGCGGUUCGUCGGGCGGUAGGUAGGUAGGUAGAGGUCGUGGUGUAGGUAGCUAGGUUAAUCGGUGGUGGCAGUAGGUAGUGGUGGUAGGUGUUGCGGUGUGUGGUGGGUGGUCAUGGUGGAGCGCGGGUGGUAGUCUGUGCUACCGCUCCCACAGAAGGGGUCCCACUCCGGCGGGAAAGAACUACCGCACGAAGUGGUCUGUCCCUCCGCUCCUUCAGAUUUGGGGGCGCGCUGGGGGGACGACGAGGACUGGCCGCUAGGUGAAGAAGAAGAGGACGCGGGAGACGGACGACGAGUGUGGGCAACGAGGAGAGUUGAAGAAAGAAGAAGGGGAGGAGAACGACGACAGAAGAAGGGACUUGAGGAGGACGACGACGAGGAGACUAGACUACGACUUGGCUACGAGGAGAGUUGUGAACGACGACGAGGAGUGAUCGAGGUCCGGCGGGGGGAGCGAAGAAGAGAAGAGGUUCAGGGAGGAGACGAGGGGAAGAACGGGCUUGGAAAAAAGGCGAGGAAGAGACUUGGACAACGACGUUAACGCGAAAUGACGAAGAACGAUGGGGUACGACGACUACGGGAGUUGGAGAACGACGAUAAAGAGAAAGAGGGAGAGUUAGAAGAGACCUAAAAGACAUUAUCCUCUACACAUUACGAAACAUUAUAAGUCUAAAAUUCUCGCAACCGUUGGACAUCGAACAAUACAAACCAUCAACAUUAUAUAUUACGAACUGAACAUAAAGACUUCCGACACUCUUAAUUAACAGGAUCUUUAGAACGAGAUACUAACUCAUUAGACGAUCAUAUUAACACACAAGUGGAACAAAUGAUCAGGGACAUGAUCAAUUGAAACAUGAACAAACUAAAAGUCAGGAACACAAUCGAGGUCGUGCACGCUAUAUAUAUAUAUAUAUAUAUAUGUAUACACACACGGACACUACACUAUACAAGUACAAGACAGGAUUUUGGAACAAAGAAGGGGGACAAUUAACAAUAUAUAUAUAUAUAUAUACAAGUACAGAAAAAUUAAGGAAACAAACUACAAACGAACAAAAUCGUAAAAGAAAGAGUUCGUAUUGUUUUUAUAGUCUUUCUGUCUCAUUUCUAUUAGAAGUAGAGGGAAACGAUGACACAGUAAAGGUAAUGACGAUAGGAACAAUCACAAUCAAAUAUUAAGGAGCGUUAGUAGUGAACAUAAGAAAGUGGAUCGAAAUCGGCUCGUAUCAACGGCAGCAGAUCAGGGACACCUCUUGUGCUGUGAGCGUCAAACCCGCAUUUUGGGGGCGACAUGAAAGUUAACUAGUAAAACCGCGGCAACGGCCCCUGAUCGCAGCUCGCAAACACACUCCGAAAUCUGAUCCAAAUCGAACAAAGGAAAAACACGAAAUAUAUAAACACUAUAUAGAGAUCGGUGAUUGGGACCAAGAUCAAUCAUAGAAAAACAGAAGAAAAGGAAAAACGUCCAACCUAAUAGGAGAGCCAAUACCGAAUGAUAAGUCUAGUAGUCCGAAUACGCUCGUUGUGAUGUUUGUCGUGCCUUUCACAAGUUCUUGACUAUCAAUAGGUUACGUCCCUAAGUCCAUGUUACUCCUCUUGGUGUUGAUACGAGGUGUUGUCUAAAUAAGUGGAGGAUGAGUAUAUGGAGUUAUGGUCCUCUACACAGGUUACCUCAAUUUACCAGGAGGUAAACCAGUUGGUUGUUGAGGUCGUGGAAAGCUCGUUAGAGUACACGUUCACGGGUGUGUUCUACUUAAACUACUAUAUCUCUUCGAGUGUAACGAAUCAGAGCUCAAGUGAACCUCACGGCUCCUACUAGGAUAAUCCUUCCAAUAUGAUCUACUUUACUUCUUCUAGUUCUCACCUUUUCUCGAUCACCUUCUUCAUUCCUUCUAACUCUUCUUGUAGUUGCGACCGUCGUGAUAAAGAAGUGUUGAACUCAACUCACACCGACUCUAUAGGUACCUAUGUACACUCCAAGGUUGUGGAAGUGUAAAGCAACUCGUUCAGUCGUUCACGGAACUCGUUCUCUAUGGAGUCUAACUUCUUCUACUUGAUAUUCUGUUCCUUGUUCUACCAGUUCUCGAGGUUAAGGGUUCACUAGUUCAACUUCUGAGUAGUAGAUAAUGAGGACUUCUUCAUGUUCUUCGAUAACAUCUACUUCUACUUCUUGUACUCUAAAUAAACGGAUAACAGUAUGGUCUCGCACUACACAGUCCAAAUGAGUUAGGAGAACUACUGUACUACGGAACACUAAAGAAAGGAUAGUGGAACGUAAUGUACUAUGGUAGUGAAUUCUAACUAAACUUUUGAGUAAACGAACCUAUACUACUAUAUAUGGGACAAACACGGUAACGAGAGUAAACACUACUAGUGUUAAUGAAAGGAGUACGAUCAGAACUCGAAUUACUAUUUACAGUAGGAGCACACUCAUAACUGGUACGACUAAAGACGGUAGGAUUUGUACACGAAAUAUCAAUACGAAUAUAUUAACCUAUAAGGUAACUACUGAACCUCCCGUAGCUGGCAUAGUGUACAUCAACAAACACACUCAGGAUAAAGUCCGAAAACGAUGACGUGACAAAUCAUGUACGACUGGUCCAAGCUCCACUGUAAGGAACCCUAGGACCACCUCAGCCUCGUACCGCUACUCCCCUCGUGUUUGUCCCUUGUGUUUGUAUCUUCUCACCUCUCUUCUUUCAUCCUCUCUUCUCAUACGUUUAUGGUCCACUAAGACAAGGUGAACUUAGUUGGAAAUCUUUUAAAUCAUGCUCUUGACCGUAAAAUAACGUAACUUUGAGAAAAACGUAACACUGUGGAAUUAGAAGUGACGUUUCAUCCUAAGUGAGGUUCUUCUAACAACUAAGAGAAUUAUGAUUUUGAUACAUCGACAUAAGAAGAAUACGAUUAAAGACUAUUACUUAUGAAAUAUGGAGGUACAUUUACAAGUUACCCUUACGGAACUCAGAUUCACUUUGGAUGAUUACUUAACUACACGACACAGACUGACAGGGUUCAAUUCGAUUCAUUGACCACCGUGAAUUCAUCAUCGAUACUAGAGACCUAGACAUCAUACACUUUUUGUCACGGUAAUCGAUACCUAAGGAGAAAGUUAAUAAGGACAAAAUGAAUUCGAUUCAUUAAAAGUUUAUUGAUUUAUUUUAUUAAUAUUAUUAAAUUCAGGCUAGCUGGAUAUCAACGUACAGUACAAGGGACCUAGUCACCGAACACUUUAGACCAUCUAACCUGAUAUUUUUUUUAAUAUACUUUUUACGAUAUUAAACAGCUUGGUCCACAUAUGGUACAAGGGCCCUAGCCACGAUACAAGGAAACCCCUCUAUUAUUGUUUUUUUUAUAUGAUUAUUAAACCAGCUCGGUCCACAUAUGGUACAAGAACCCUAGCCACCAUACAAGGAAACCACUCUGACUAUAUUAUAGUAGUGAACACGAAAUUUAAGUUAUUCAUUGAACAAAAAGAUUAACUAAAACCCCAGGGUCGAAUAGAGUCCUGACUUCUGUCUCGGUUGAGAACUAAUAAUCAUAAGUGAAACUGAGUUCCGGUAACUGAACCUUGUAAAUGUCACACAAUAUUUUAUAAAGAAUAGUGUUAAAUCGAAGUCAUCUCAUGUAAACGAAUCAAGGUCAUAACAGCCUUAAUGAUAGAUAGCCUUUCACGUAGAAAUGAUCCGUCACACUCAACACAGUGGUAGUAAAAAAAAGGAAACGAACUCCUGUUCGUUUCUAAAUUCACACCCCCUUGAACUAUUCGUGUAAAGAAUAUAUGAUAAACCCGUGUGUUUAAGUGGAAAAUAACUCUAUAUAGGUAGGUAAGAACGAUACUGAACAACUUAUAAACUUACUAUUAGUAUCUUCUCUUACAACUGAUCACUUAACAAAUAAAACGUCUUUUCACGCGUUUCCAUGAUAUUAGCAGUUCUGAAGAUGAUACACCGAUUGCUGUUCUCUCUUCCCGUACUUUCUUUAUGCAGUUCCGAACUGGCACUUCCUUUCUUCAUUACAUCCCCUCGUUUGAUUUUCUUCUCCUCCUAGAAGAACCCUUCUUUUUUCUUUCCUCCUCCCGGUUUCAUUUUUUUCUGUCUUGUCUCCUCCCCUAGUUUUUAGGGAUCGUGUCGGCUAGGGGUAGCCCGGACCGUUGUGGAGAGGAAGGGGGACAGAGGAAGAGGGUGGAGGCCGGCGGCAGCGCCGGUCCGGUCGCACCGCCGCGCGGUUCGUCGGGCGGUAGGUAGGUAGGUAGAGGUCGUGGUGUAGGUAGGUAGGUUAGUCGGUGGCGGCGGUAGGUAGUUGUGGUGAGGUAGUGGUGGUAGGUGUCGCGGUGUGUGGUGGGUGGUCGUGGUGGAGCGCGGGUGGUAGUCUGUGCUACCGCUCCCACAGAAGGGGUCCCGCUCCGGCGGGGAAGAACUACCGCACGAAGUGGUCUGUCCCUCCGCUCCUUCAGACUUGGGGGCACGCUGGGGGGACGGCGAGGACUGGCCGCUAGGUGAAGAAGAAGAGGACACGGGAGACGGACGACGAGUGUGGGCAACGAGGAGAGUUGGAGAAAGAAGAAGGGGAGGAGAACGACUACAGAAGAAGGGACUUGAGGAGGAGGACGACGAGGAGACUAGACUACGACUUGGCUACGAGGAGAGUUGUGAACGACAACGAGGAGUGAUCGAGGACCUGCGGGGGGAGCGAAGAGAGGUUCAGGGAGGAGACGAGGAGAAGAACGGGCUUGGAAAAACGACGAGGAAGAGACUUGGACAACGAUGUUAACGCGAAAUGACGAAGAACGAUGGGGUACGACGACUACGGGAGUUGGAGAACGAAGAUAAAGAGAAAGAGGGAGAGUUAGAAGAGACUUAAAAGACAUUAUACUCUACACAUUACGAAACAUUAUAAGUCUAAAAUUCUCACAACCGUUGGACAUCGAACAAUACAAACCAUCAACAUUAUAUAUUACGAACUGAACAUAAAGACUUCCGACACUCUUAAUUAAUAGGAUCUUUAGAACGAGAUACUAACUCAUUAGACGAUCAUAUUAACACACAAGUGGAACAAAUGAUCAGGGACAUGAUCAAUUGAAACAUGAACAAACUAAAAGUCAGGAACACAAUCGA
rnacentral:rRNA from 1 species